rnacentral:rRNA from 1 species
AGGACCGGAGUGGACGCAUCACUGGUGUUCGGGUUGUCAUGCCAAUGGCACUGCCCGGUAGCUAAAUGCGGAAGAGAUAAGUGCUGAAAGCAUCUAAGCACGAAACUUGCCCCGAGAUGAGUUCUCCCUGAGACUUUAAGUCUCCUGAAGGAACGUUGAAGACGACGACGUUGAUAGGCCGGGUGUGUAAGCGCAGCGAUGCGUUGAGCUAACCGGUACUAAUGAACCGUGAGGCUUAACCUU